rnacentral:rRNA from 1 species
AUGGCGAUUGCGGUCGGCCACUGCCACGACCUCAAGCCGCCCGCCGUCCGCGGCCGGCACUACCGUCCGCACUCCGUCACCCAGCUCGACCGGUCGCUGCUCGAACGCGACAAUCAGGAACGGAAUGCACUGUCACCGCAGCGUCGGUGUCUCUCCUCCCCGUGCUUCACCACCGUGGCCGAACCCGCCUCUGACGACGCCCAGGACGACAAGAAGAUGCCCCGCGUGGAGAUCGUCGCGGGUCGCCACGCCCGCGGCGUGCACGAGCUCAUCGCGGAGGCCGCGGGCGCCAUCGCGUCAGGGACGCGGCUUGUGCCAGCGCAGAGCGGCCUCGGCGGGGCUUUGCUGCUCAAGGACGGCCGCUCCGGCGAGCACGUGGCGGUGAUCAAGCCGCUAGACGACGCGACGUCUUCUCCAUCGACCAACGUCGGAGGCGGCUACGAGAGCAAGGCCGUGCUCCGGGAGGUGGCCGCGUACCUCCUCGACCACGACGGGUUCGCCAGCGUCGCGCCGACGGCGCUGAUCAAGAUAUCCCGCCCCGAGAUGGAGACAACCGUGGCGUCCAUCCAGCGCUUCGUGGCGCACCACUACGACGCCGGAGAGCUCGGCCCGUCUAGGUUCUCCGUGACCUCCGUGCACCGCGUAGGAAUCCUGGACGUGCGCCUCCUCAAUAUCGACCGCCACGCCGGCAACAUCCUCGUCAAGAAUCCGCCCACCAGCGACUGCGCCGCGGAUGGCAGCACGUCGGCGGCGCCGCUGGAGCUCGUGCCGAUCGACCACGGCCUCUGCCUCCCUGAGGAGCUCGACGACCCGUACUUCGAGUGGCUGCACUGGCCGCAGUCGUCGCGACCAUUCUCCGGCACCGAGCUCGACUACAUCGCGUCGCUGGACCCUUUCAAGGACGCCGAGAUGCUCCGGGAAGAGCUGCCGUCCCUGACGGAACCGGCCAUCCGGAUCCUCACGCUGUGCACCGUCUUCCUCCAGCGCGCGGCCGCGGCGGGGCUCUGCCUGGCUGACAUCGGCGACAUGAUGACCCGCGAGUUCUCGUCGGCGGAGGAGGGGCUGAGCGCGCUCGAGGCCCUCUGCAAGAAGGCCGUGGACUCCAUCGACACCCAGUCGCCGAAGCGCGUGUCGUUCGGGGAGCUGGGUGGCGAGGAGUGGGCGGCGUUCAUGGAGAAGUUUGAGCAGCUGCUGCCGCCGGCGUUCGAGGACAAGAAGCGCGGGGCUGGCGUUGCGCUGAAUUAA